ACCCAUCUGCCCACCACACAGAGCAGAAUCCCCACCUGUGCCCUCACCGCUCAGCACAGUGUCUGACACUAUACACAGUAGUCAAUAAAUUCUCACUGAAUGAUGUAGUCAGUGAUGGAUUUUCAGUUGGUGGAUAAUUGGGAAAGACUGUAGACGGUCCGACUCUGGUGGAAGAUGCAGGUGGCCGACUCACGCUGGAGUAGGGAGAGAAGGCCGUCCAGAGCUGCCCAGUUCAGAACCAUGGGAAAUGGAUCUGGUUUCUGAUGCCUAAGUAAUGCCCAGGUGGAAACAAAUCAAACUCUGUCCCCAGCGGAGGCAACACUCACUUCACGAACAGCUGCCGUGACCCGAUAGUGCCAAGAGGUUUUUUUUUAAUGGCCUGUUCUCCAUGUGACAGAGGAGCCUGAGAAGUUGGGAGCAGAGUCUAGCGUGGUAAGUGCUAGAAUAGUGUACGCUCAGGUGUUGAGGGAGCCCAGAGGUGCGUGUGUUGCAGCCGUUCGGGGCCAUUCAGAAAGGCCUCUUGAAGGGACAGUUUGUUCUGCCUCUUGGAAGAUGGAUAGCCAUUAGCUAGGCAGAGAAGUAGGAAAAGAGGCUCCCUCCACAGAGGGAAGAGUCUGGAUGGCAGCCGAAGCUCACCUUGGCUUUGCAAACCCACAGGUUGUAAAAGAUAAUACUUGUGCCAGAGGAGACGCCGUGCUCCCUUUAGUAUUUGCAGACCCCCAGGAAGAGGUGGCCCGCUGCGUUUUUGGUGACUUACUAGAGGGUUGGUCUGUAGAUCAGAAGCAAGAAGGUGGAAAUGGGGACUUAAGGAAACAUACGUGGAAGACGCCUUCCAGGGCUUGGAAGGCUCUAGUGUGACUGACGGUCGGUGCAGGCCUAGGGAAGUAGCUGCUUGGUGGGCUUAGCCCUGGCCUCCUCUUCUCCGGAUUCCUUUGUAGGGAAGGGUGGGUGUCAGCUGGUCCCUAGGGUCUAACUUUAUCCUCUGGUGCUUCCUUUUGUGGUGGAAGCGUCAGCCAGCUGACAUGGUGCUGCCGUGCAGACCUGUCACUCUCCAGUAUUCUACCCACUUUAGUUUUUUCACAGCAUUUAUCUCCAUCUGUCCUUAAAUCGUAGAUGUCUUUGUCUUAUUUAUUCAUAGUCUCUGUGGCUGCACUGAAAGCUCUCUGAGGGCAGGGCUUUUAUGUUUGUUUACUGUGUACACCCAGCAGCUCAAUGAAUGUCUGCGGAAUGAUUAGAUGAAUAUGGCAGAAGGUCUGUUACCUAAAGUACUGAUGACAUCAACUCUGUCUCAGGAGGAAGACUCUAAGACCUUGAGAGCACUGGGUGGAUUUCUUCCUAGCCUUGCUCCUCUAGGGACCUCAGACUCAGCCCUUGUGAUCUGCUCCUGGGGCUGCUUCUCCCACCUGAUUUCUGAUCUUCUCCCGUUCACACCCUAUGCUCCACCGUGGUGAAUUCAUAUGCCCUUACCAGAUGCACACAGGCCUCUUGUGUGUGCAGUUAGACACACACACACACACUCCGGUCCUGCUCCAUUCUAUACACACACACACACACACUCCGGUCCUGCUCCAGUUCUAUAUACACACACAAACACACAACACACACAAACACACACGCGCGUCUCCCCAGCACAGCCACACGCCUCCUCUGGGCUCUCGUGACAACCAGGCAGCGCUUUCCCACUGUGGCACUGACAGCCUUGUGCUGUGAUCCUGACUCUCCCACUGGCCCUAAUGGGCCCAGGCUAGGAACAAUGCUUUGAUUCCUUUGAUCGCCUAGGACAGGGGCCCAUUUGGGUGGAGUCCAGAGGAGCUGUACGAGGCCACAUGGUGGACCGGCUUCAAAGCUUGGAACUGAGGCAGCUCUGAAGACAGAGCAUGUGUCGAACUCUCUGUGUUGUCUUGAUGUCUCUGGGCUUCUGCUCCAUCCUCCUCCUCUGCUACCCAGCGUCCUUAUUUCCUACCCAUGGCUACACCUCUGGCUUCCCUCAGGCCUCAAGUUCAUGUGCCCAAAACACAGUGAGGGCAAACAAUACUGAAACAUCGGAGUUUGGAGCAGAGAAA